AGAGAGAGAGAGAGAGAGAGAGAGAGAGAGAGAGAGAUUCAUAAGAAGUUCUGUGACUCUAGAAAACCUUGACUAAUACAGAUAGACAGGAAAGAGUAGCUGAGUGUCCAGUAGGUUCGAGGAAUUCCUAUCAGUCAGUUGUUUUCAAUGUCAAUAGUGUUUUGCUUUUAUUUUCUAAAAGAAAAGAGAGCAUUGAUCCACAUGUUCAGGAGAAAAAGACAAAGAAAAACUCAAAAGAGACAGUCUCAGGUAGCCCAGGCUGACCUGGAAGUCUUGAUUCUCCUGCUUCCAUCUCCAAGGUGCUGGGAUUACAGCUGUAUGGAUUCUAUGUUCUUUGUGAAUUGAAAUAUGAAAUCAGCUACCGAGACAAGGAAGGAGAGCACCUGGAAUGGAAGACAUCAGAGAAGCAGUGGGGGACUGCCUGAAUUUCAAGGGCAUGGAUUAGUGAAUUAAGUAAGACUUCGCUCGUUACUAUACACAGUCUGACUUUAUAGGGAAGCGUGAUCCCAGAAGGAUGUUGUUUUCAAAGUGCAGCAAGCUUCCAUCAAUGCAAGCAGACACAUCUGCCUUGUCAAAAUGCCCACAUGGAUAAAGAAGGUGGCUAAUGGACCAGGACUUCACGGUGCACAUGGGACUCGUGGCUUCCUUGCUGUUUCCCUCUGUUAAGCCCCUUGUUACCAAUUUACCAUGUAGAUAUCUGACUUAAUAAAUGGCUAC